AGGUGGGGUAGAGCGUGCAAAAAUAUUUCCCACAGUCCCGCGCGAGGGAAAUCCUCUAGCAAGGACGGUAUCACGUGACAGGGGUGAGGCGAGGUUACCAGUGUCGGCUCCUUAGUUCGCUGCUGAGGGAACGGUUGGGGGCAGGAGAGAGCCUCGCGCUCUCAGUCCUGGUCCAGUGGCGGCAGCAGCAGGUUUCCAGCCCGUGCAGCAGAGACUCCCCGUUCCGCAGGCGCACCUCGGCCGGGCGGGGGACAUGCCUUGUGUGCUGACUGCGCGCGGGAACUGGCGCCUGGCGAGGGCGCUGGGGUGUAGCUACCGCCAGCCCAAAGAGACCUGGCGUGGGAGCCAGGUGUGUGACUCAGCGCCUGUAACGGGGCAGGACUCCGAGCCAGAGCGCUAUACCGGCCAUGUAUGAAAUACAGUCCCCGAUCCCCUCAGUCUGUAACGUGCCUUUACAGCAAAUUCAGCUUCCAGGCACUGCAAUCCCAGAAAAAAUAGACGAAUAUGGGGAAAUUCAGAGAAGAUGAAGAGGGAUCAGGAACGACUAAAAGAGAAAAUAUGAAUAGCAUGGCGAAGUGAUGUCUAAAAGUAGAUGUGAUAGCCAUCCUCAAGGGAGGAUGUAAAUUGAAAUAUAUUUUAAUCAAUUGUCAGUGACCAAAACCCCAGAGCAUAGUUCCUGAGAGUGUCUCAGUAAAUCAAGAGGAAUCAAAAUCAAAUUUAAACUGGCUAUUUUGCUUUUACAGUCUAAGAAACUUCUUGUAAAGAACAACGAUUUUAACCUCAGGAGGAUGUUUCAGUCCUGGUCCCUUGCCAGGAACAGCA